rnacentral:rRNA from 1 species
UGCAAGUCGAACGAUGAAACCGCUUCGGUGGUGGAUUAGUGGCGAACGGGUGAGUAACACGUGGGCAAUCUGCCCUUCACUCUGGGACAAGCCCUGGAAACGGGGUCUAAUACCGGAUAACACUCUGUCCCGCAUGGGACGGGGUUGAAAGCUCCGGCGGUGAAGGAUGAGCCCGCGGCCUAUCAGCUUGUUGGUGGGGUAAUGGCCUACCAAGGCGACGACGGGUAGCCGGCCUGAGAGGGCGACCGGCCACACUGGGACUGAGACACGGCCCAGACUCCUACGGGAGGCAGCAGUGGGGAAUAUUGCACAAUGGGCGAAAGCCUGAUGCAGCGACGCCGCGUGAGGGAUGACGGCCUUCGGGUUGUAAACCUCUUUCAGCAGGGAAGAAGCGAAAGUGACGGUACCUGCAGAAGAAGCGCCGGCUAACUACGUGCCAGCAGCCGCGGUAAUACGUAGGGCGCAAGCGUUGUCCGGAAUUAUUGGGCGUAAAGAGCUCGUAGGCGGCUUGUCACGUCGGAUGUGAAAGCCCGGGGCUUAACCCCGGGUCUGCAUUCGAUACGGGCUAGCUAGAGUGUGGUAGGGGAGAUCGGAAUUCCUGGUGUAGCGGUGAAAUGCGCAGAUAUCAGGAGGAACACCGGUGGCGAAGGCGGAUCUCUGGGCCAUUACUGACGCUGAGGAGCGAAAGCGUGGGGAGCGAACAGGAUUAGAUACCCUGGUAGUCCACGCCGUAAACGUUGGGAACUAGGUGUUGGCGACAUUCCACGUCGUCGGUGCCGCAGCUAACGCAUUAAGUUCCCCGCC